ACGUAGGGAGCAAGCGUUGUUCGGAUUUACUGGGCGUAAAGGGCGCGUAGGCGGCAUUGUUAGUCACUUGUGAAAUCUCCGGGCUUAACCCGGAACGGCCAAGUGAUACUGCAGUGCUAGAGUGCGGAAGGGGCAAUCGGAAUUCUCGGUGUAGCGGUGAAAUGCGUAGAUAUCGAGAGGAACACCUGAGGUGAAGACGGGUUGCUGGGCCGACACUGACGCUGAGGCGCGAAAGCCAGGGGAGCAAACGGGA
rnacentral:rRNA from 1 species